GCUGCGAUGGCCGAGUGGUUAAGGCGUUGGACUCGAAAUCCAAUGGGAUAUUCCCGCACAGGUUCGAAUCCUGUUCGCAGCG
rnacentral:tRNA from 2 species